rnacentral:rRNA from 1 species
UACGUAGGGUGCGAGCGUUAAUCGGAAUUACUGGGCGUAAAGCGUGCGCAGGCGGUUUUGUAAGCCAGAUGUGAAAUCCCCGGGCUUAACCUGGGAAUGGCAUUUGGGACUGCAAGGCUUGAGUGCGGCAGAGGAGACUGGAAUUCCUGGUGUAGCAGUGAAAUGCGUAGAUAUCAGGAGGAACACCGAUGGCGAAGGCAGGUCUCUGGGCUGACACUGACGCUCAGGCACGAAAGCGCGGGGAGCAAACAGG